UUGUCCCGUCCAGGACAUACGACAACAAAACCCUCUUGAUUAAUGUAACUUGAGAGAAACAGGCUCAACCGCUGAAAGCACACCGAACCGCCCCUGGUGUUUAACUGGAAUGGACAGCAUGUACACGGACUCCCCAGCUAAGAGAUGUGGGAAGUCUGGGAGAAGAUUACACCAGUGGGAAGUGCAUCCAGCUGCAAUUCCUGACUACGGAAUCCCGUGUGGAGAGAACAGAGUUGUGAUUGGACAACUUCAGGAUCAUCCAGGAGUGAGAGCAUCAUAGAUAUGAGUGACAGUGAUGUGGUCCAUUUACCAUUUACGGAGCAUUAUCACCACCAACUGCGGUAUAAAAAUCAGAGGACCAAAUUGGGUUCGAAUACCAGGCAAAAAUAUUAUUUUUUCAGUAUAAUGGGGUAGCAAGGAAUAAAUUGUUGAACGCUCA